UGAGAUGCUUUAUUUUAUUUAAUUUGACUUUUUUGGGUUUUGUAACAAACAUUGAAAUUCUUCGUCUUUUAAAUUUGAACCUCUAGGUUUUUUCUAGAAACGGGAGUGAGCGACCACAACAAAAAUAAAUUGUAUCUCUGUACGGCUGCAUUACAUUUUGUGUGAGAUACAAGCUGUUGUUUUUGUAACAUCAAACUGCUCAUUUGUUUUAAUUUGACCUUCUUCUUUUUUGUUUUAGAAAUGGAGAAACCCAAAAAAUGUGUGUACGAACAUCUUUUUUAAUACAAACAUGAACUUUUUAUCAUCGACCUCUGUGAGCUUCCAUGGUUACAAAGACGUUUUUCAGUACAAACAUUUUUUUGACGUAACAUAAUUUUUUCUUGGAGUGUACACACUUUAAAACAUAGUAUAAAAAUUCAAAAUGAAUAAAAACAUACACUUAAAAAAACUGGUACCAACCCAAUUAAAAAGGGAAGUGAAUUUUUUCCACCACACAUUUCCUUAUCGUCACUACCACACUCAUCUCUUACUCUCUCUCCAUCUUAUCUUGGUUCCUGGUGCGCACAAACCAUAGCAGCGCUUUCACUUGCAUUCUAGAAGAAGAAAAUUUGAGCAAGGAUAUAGCUGCGCUGCCCACAUGCAAGGAGUCUGACUGCGAAAGAGGAACGCCAGCUGCUUGGGGAGCUCGCCGCGAGUCUGACAACCAAAGAGGCGUGCGAGUUUGCGUAGCCGCGGGGAGCUUGUCCAGGCCCACAUGCCCAGGGGAAGGCCGGUGCAGGUAGUCAGCGGCGACGCAUCAGUGGCCUGGACCAGUGCGUGCGUGCAACCACGCGGGAGGAAGAAGGUCACCAGCUUCACGGUGGUGGAUGGACGGCCGCACACACAGGAAUCCGGGCGACGAGACCCCGUCUAGGAGGUGCGGGCUGCCGUUGGUGGUCGUCUUCCAUGACCGCGGCGGCGGUUGGUUUUUUCUUUCUUUUUCAGCUCCCGUUUCAGUUUAUGUUCCUACCUAUUGUCUAAAUAUAUUAAGAGAGAUCUACGGUCUAACGAGGAGUUGGAUCGGCGUAAAGAACAAGACAAACGUGAUAUUAUCUCUAUAAGGAUGGUUACGAGGCUCUGCUCUUUUUUUCUUUAUUCAA